UGGACUGAAGGGUUCCCUUCCAUUCUCUCAUGCACAGAAAAAAUCACCAUCAAUGGAUCAUGUAUGAUGUAUUUGCCAAUUAACAUGUUCAUUUGUUCAUACAAUGAAUGGUCGAUCAAACCACAAGGUACUUGUACAAAUUGUGAGAGACAAAACAACAUUACCAAUACAUAGGGUCCAUCAGUUGACGAUAUCAAGAGGAGAGAAGGAAAGUGUUCCGUCCAAGCCAAGGUGGGUUAAUGGGACUGAUCUUGCUGCUGUAUCAUUGGUUUGUGAGAAUUACAUCAAAGCAGACGAAUAAGAUGACAUGUUCUUGCUCCAAUGAUGCAGGAGCUGAGCUCAGUUUUCCCCCCGCCUUUUCUUGGACCGAAGGGUUUCCUUCCAUCAUCAAUAAGCUAAUCACUCUUAGCGAUCAAUGAAAUGAGAGGAGAAUCGGUUCAAAUCUCGAGGCAAAAUUACUACUAGUGAUUCCUUCUCAUUUGCUGAAGCAUUACUAGGCAAAGUUACCAAUAGCUCUUUUGGUGUGUAAUAGUCGAGCUGCACAAUAUUGGCUGGCCUGUAGACCACCAUCAUGAAAGACUGAUGACAAACAUUCCACCAGGUUAGCAAACACAACAGUAAACAGGAAAGCUAUUUUUUCCCAUUUUCACGGUUGUUCUACAUGCUACAUUGUUUUGUAAUUCACAAGUUAGUAUUUUUACUUACAAAUUUUGUUCCAGUCAGAAUGUAACUGCACAAUGUUUUUUUAUCCUUUUCUUCUGUGUUGUUAUGUUCAUUCAUCAAUAAAUUGAGUUCCAACA